rnacentral:rRNA from 1 species
GACGAACGCUGGCGGCGUGCUUAACACAUGCAAGUCGAACGGAAAGGCCCUGCUUGCAGGGUACUCGAGUGGCGAACGGGUGAGUAACACGUGGGUGAUCUGCCCUGCACUUCGGGAUAAGCUUGGGAAACUGGGUCUAAUGCCGGAUAGGAACCAUCUUUAGUGUGGUGGUUGGAAAGUUUUUUCGGUGUAGGAUGAGCUCGCGGCCUAUCAGCUUGUUGGUGGGGUAAUGGCCUACCAAGGCGGCGACGGGUAGCCGGCCUGAGAGGGUGUACGGCCACAUUGGGACUGAGAUACGGCCCAGACUCCUACGGGAGGCAGCAGUGGGGAAUAUUGCACAAUGGGCGCAAGCCUGAUGCAGCGACGCCGCGUGGGGGAUGAAGGCCUUCGGGUUGUAAACUCCUUUCGCUAGGGACGAAGCUUUGUUGUGACGGUACCUAGAUAAGAAGCACCGGCUAACUACGUG